AGACUAAUUAAAUCAAAAUCUCUGGGGGUGGGGCUCAGACAGCAGCAGUUUUUAAAGCCCCCAGGUGAUUCCAACAUGCGGCCAAGGCUGGGAGCCACUUUUCUAAUUUGUGAAGCCAGAAGCAGCAGCAAGAAAGUUUGACUCUGGAGCCUGGGCUCUGCAUGCUAAAAUAGACCACUCCCAGCACUGGCUGCACAUCAGGCAGGAGUCGGAUUUGCCCUCCAACUGGGUCUGAUCAUCCAGUGGCCUAAAGUUUACGGGAGAAGCAAACCAAAUGACUGAAAACAGUCCAGGAGAUGUGUUUGUGUGCAUUCGCCAUAAAAAGUAAAGAAGAAAGUUUCCUCCCCAAGAACUGAACACACAGUCUGAGGUUCUGUUCUGCAGGACAGCAGGUUGCCACUGAAAUGGCAAUUGGUCAUAUAUACGUGGCUCUGAGGGCUCCUUAAGAACUUGGACUCUUCAGAAGGACGUCGGGUGAAAAGUUCACAGCACAAGUUUUCAGGUUCAUGAACAGUAGAAUCCCCUCACGACACCAAACAGUGAGGAGCAGUUGGACUGGCAGCUCACCCCGAGGCAGUAAUUUUAUGUCCCAGCCUUUAGUUUUGCUUGCUAACAACAUCAUCUAGGGGUUACGGGACUGAAUCUCUUUUUUUCCCUCCCAUGCGUGGUUUGGAAAGGGCUCCUAAAAGGUUCUGCGUUUGCAUAUCACCUAUCCAGCCAUAAAGAUAGACUGACAAAUCUCAGAGCUCCAGCUCCAAAUUCACAGGGAAAGAGCUCUCAGUUAUGGUGGAAUUGUUCAUCUCUCUGUUCUUCAAACGAGUUUGACAGACACUGUGAAUGGCGGGGUUUUUGUCUGAUUGAUUCUGGACUAAUCAAUUGUGAUGGGGGUGGGAUCAUGUUUCUGAAUCCAACUACCUUCCUUCUACCAUGUGAGUGCAGCCCAGGAGUUUUUGCCUAGAAAAGCUUUGGUGGAUAAUAAGACUCCCAUUUGGACAUUUAGUGAUUUGAUAAAAGUCUAGUUAUUUUUCUUAUUCAUUGUGGAAUAUUCCCUUUAUGUGUAUUCUUCUCAUUGUCUUCUCUUUACCUGCCCUCUCCAACUUACAGGUCUUUUUUUUUAUGGUAAAAUCAUGUGCCCAAAUCUUCUUUAUUUACGUUGAAGAGAGUUUUUUGAUUUUGACUGUUCUAUGCAAUUGUAAAUUAAUCAAACUUGUUAAAACUUAGGGCACUGUAUAAAAUAUACCUAAUGUUAGUGUUAAAAGAAAAUACUGUACGGAAAAUAGCAACUUUAAAUAA
rnacentral:lncRNA from 1 species